UGGGUUCUGGGCUGAUGCUUUUACUCUUUUCAUUUUGGAGCAUACAUCAUGGCAUUGAGCUGAUGCGUUCUAUUUAAAAUUUUAUUUUAACAUGCAUCUGAUGUUGAACUUUUGUUUAACUUGUAUUUUAGUUAUACAUAUUUCCUGAUGUGCUAAUCUCUCUCUCUUGUCUUCCUUUCUUAAACUAGAUUUGGGAUCUUGACACUCUACAGUCUAUUAUGACACUAGAUGGUCAUACUGAUGCACCAAUGUCUCUUCUAUGCUGGGAUCAAUUUUUGUUAUCCUGUUCAUUGGACCAGACUAUAAAAGUUUGGGGUGUUGCAGGAGGCAACUUGGAAGUAACCUAUACACAACUAAAAACAUGGUGUGCCUGCGCUUUGUGGGUUGAAUGAUUCUGGACAACCAGUAUUGUUAUGCGCUUGUAACGAUAAUUCUGUUCACCUAUAUGAUUUACCAUCUUCACUGAGAGGGCGAGGAUAUUGUCAAAACAUGAAGUCAGAGACAUUCAGAUUAGUCCUGAUGGCCUCAUUUUCACCGGUGAUGGAAUCGGAAUGUUAAGCGUAUGGAAGCUGUUGGCAAAGUCAAGUGGAUGAGCCUUCUCAUUAAAAUUUGUACGAGAAACAAGUUGCAGUAUAAA